GAUCCUGGCUCAGAUUGAACGCUGGCGGCAUGCUUUACACAUGCAAGUCGAACGGUAACAGGUCUUCGGAUGCUGACGAGUGGCGAACGGGUGAGUAAUGUAUCGGAACGUGCCCAGUAGUGGGGGAUAACUACUCGAAAGAGUGGCUAAUACCGCAUGAGAACUGAGGUUGAAAGCGGGGGACCUUCGGGCCUCGCGCUACUGGAGCGGCCGAUAUCAGAUUAGGUAGUUGGUGGGGUAAAGGCCUACCAAGCCGACGAUCUGUAGCUGGUCUGAGAGGACGACCAGCCACACUGGGACUGAGACACGGCCCAGACUCCUACGGGAGGCAGCAGUGGGGAAUUUUGGACAAUGGACGCAAGUCUGAUCCAGCAAUGCCGCGUGCAGGACGAAGGCCUUCGGGUUGUAAACUGCUUUUGUACAGAACGAAAAGGUCUCCUCUAAUACAGGAGGCUUAUGACGGUACUGUAAGAAUAAGCACCGGCUAACUACGUG
rnacentral:rRNA from 1 species